AGUGAACGCUGGCGGUAGGCCUAACACAUGCAAGUCGAACGGCAGCACAGUAAGAGCUUGCUCUUACGGGUGGCGAGUGGCGGACGGGUGAGGAAUACAUCGGAAUCUACUUUUUCGUGGGGGAUAACGUAGGGAAACUUACGCUAAUACCGCAUACGACCUACGGGUGAAAGCAGGGGAUCUUCGUACCUUGCGCGAUUGAAUGAGCCGAUGUCGGAUUAGCUAGUUGGCGGGGUAAAGGCCCACCAAGGCGACGAUCCGUAGCUGGUCUGAGAGGAUGAUCAGCCACACUGGAACUGAGACACGGUCCAGACUCCUACGGGAGGCAGCAUUGGGGAAUAUUGGACAAUGGGCGCAAGCCUGAUCCAGCCAUACCGCGUGGGUGAAGAAGGCCUUCGGGUUGUAAAGCCCUUUUGUUGGGAAAGAAAAGCAGCAGGUUAAUACCCCGCUGUUCUGACGGUACCCAAAGAAUAAGCACCGGCUAACUUCGUG
rnacentral:rRNA from 1 species